CGCCCUAAUCAGCCAGGUGAACUCCUCACCUGGGCCGUGUUAGUACCGCGAUCCACACCGCGACCCGGACAGGGAGGAGGAACCGCCACCAGUGUGUGAGUGUGUGUGUGAGUGUGUGAGUGUGUGUCUGGAACACAUGGCUGCGGUGACUGCAGAGGGCUGUGAAACAAAGAGCAGUGCGUCCUGUGUGUCCACGUUCACGCUCUCAGGAUCCUCGUUUAGUAUUCAGCCAGAGGAAGCAGCUCAUCCCCACCAGUCUGGCCCAAGGUCCUGCGCCUCUCGGAUCCACGAGGCGAUUUGUUCAUAUUUAACAAGCCGGAUGACAGGUGAGGCCACCAAGUGAAAAUCCUCACGCAUGAGAGACGACCGUGCAGGUCACAAACCAAAUCUGUCCUGCGUGUCGCACAGUCACGACUCGGGCCAAAAGGUGUCGGCGGAAGCGGCUGCCGUCUGUGCU